GACGUAGGGCGCGAGCGUUGUCCGGAUUUAUUGGGCGUAAAGAGCUCGUAGGCGGCUUGUUACGUCGGAUGUGAAAACCCAUGGCUCAACUGUGGGCUUGCAUCCGAUACGGGCAGGCUAGAGUUCGGCAGGGGAGACUGGAAUUCCUGGUGUAGCGGUGAAAUGCGCAGAUAUCAGGAGGAACACCGGUGGCGAAGGCGGGUCUCUGGGCCGAUACUGACGCUGAGGAGCGAAAGCGUGGGGAGCGAACAGG
rnacentral:rRNA from 1 species